rfam:Dipodomys ordii contig_60848, whole genome shotgun sequence.
GGUGGCUCAGUGGUAGAGUGCUUGCCUUGCAUGCAUAAGGCCCUGGGUUCAAUUCCUCAGCACCA